AACGAGCUAGUAGUUGAUCCUGGCUCGAGGACGACGCUGGCGGCGUGCCUAACACAUGCAAGUCGAGCGGGGACAUGCGACGGAUCGGAAGUUUUCGGAUGGAUGUGAAGAUGUAUGUUCUAGCGGCGGACGGGUGAGUAACGCGUGAGCAACCUGUCCUUCACAGGGGGAUAACACAGCGAAAGUUGUACUAAUACCGCAUAAGACCACAACGGGACAUCCCGAAGGGGUCAAAAGAGCAAUCCGGUGAAGGGUGGGCUCGCGUCCGAUUAGAUAGUUGGUGAGGUAACGGCCCACCAAGUCGACGAUCGGUAGCCGACCUGAGAGGGUGAUCGGCCACAUUGGGACUGAGACACGGCCCAAACUCCUACGGGAGGCAGCAGUGGGGAAUAUUGGGCAAUGGGGGAAACCCUGACCCAGCAACGCCGCGUGAGGGAAGAAGGUUUUCGGAUCGUAAACCUCUGUCCUUGGUGAAGAGGAAGAGACGGUAGCCAAGGAGGAAGCCCCGGCUAACUACGUGCC
rnacentral:rRNA from 1 species